rnacentral:rRNA from 1 species
GAUCAUGGCUCAGAAUGAACGCUGGCGGCAUGCCUAACACAUGCAAGUCGAACGAGAUCUUCGGAUCUAGUGGCGCACGGGUGAGUAACGCGUGGGAACCUACCUUUUAGUACGGGACAACGUUUGGAAACGAACGCUAAUACCGUAUACGCCCUCCGGGGGAAAGGUCAGCCGCUAAAAGAGGGGCCCGCGUCUGAUUAGCUUGUUGGUAAGGUAAUGGCUUACCAAGGCGACGAUCAGUAGCUGGUCUGAGAGGAUGAUCAGCCACACUGGGACUGAGACACGGCCCAGACUCCUACGGGAGGCAGCAGUGGGGAAUAUUGGACAAUGGAGGCAACUCUGAUCCAGCAAUGCCGCGUGUGUGAUGAAGGCCCUAGGGUUGUAAAGCACUUUCAACGGUGAAGAUGAUGACGGUAGCCGUAGAAGAAGCCCCGGCUAACUUCGUGCCAGCAGCCGCGGUAAUACGAAGGGGGCGAGCGUUAUUCGGAAUUAUUGGGCGUAAAGGGCUCGCAGGCUGCUUGAACAGUUAGACGUGAAAUCCCCGGGCUUAACCUGGGAACUGCGUUUAAUACUAGCAAGCUAGAGAAAUAGAGAGGAAAGUGGAACUCCCAGUGUAGAGGUGAAAUUCGUAGAUAUUGGGAAGAACACCAGUGGCGAAAGCGACUUUCUGGCCAUUUUCUGACGCUGAGGAGCGAAAGCGUGGGGAGCAAACAGGAUUAGAUACCCUGGUAGUCCACGCCGUAAACGAUGUGUGCUAGAUGUUGGAGGGUUACCUUUCAGUGUCGCAGCUAACGCACUAAGCACACCGCCUGGGAAGUACGGUCGCAAGAUUAAAACUCAAGG